UUUCAAAUAGGUCAAUCUCACGUCUUCAUAUUUUGAGUGCUUAGUAGAGUGGCAAGAAUUUCGCUAACGCCUGCAAGUGAGAGGGUUUGAUAUCGGAGGAUCACCACCAUCACCAACUCAUGAUGAGUGAACCUGGUAAAAAGCUUCAUGUUGCUUUGUUUCCAUGGGUAGCAUUUGGUCAUAUAAUCCCAUUCCUUGAUCUUGCCAAGCACAUAGCCCAAAGGGGUCAUAAAAUCUCCUUCAUAUCCACUCCUAGAAACAUCCGACGGUUGCCCAAUAUCCCUUCAAAUUUAGCACCGCUUAUCAAUUUAGUGAGCCUCCCUUUACCCACAGUUGAACAUCUCCCACACAGUGCAGAGGCCACCAUUGAUAUACCUUCCCAGAAAAUUCCAUACCUCAAAAUUGCCUACGACGGCCUCCAAGGUCCUCUUCUCCAGUUUUUAAAAACUUCUACUCCGGAUUGGAUCAUUUACGACUUUGCUCCUUACUGGUUACCUUCCAUUGCGGCCAAUCUUAGGAUCUCGCGUGCCUUCUUCACUAUUGUAGCUGCAUGGAGUAUAUCUUUCUUUGGAUCAUCAUCUUCUGCCAUGAUUAAUGGUGAGGAUCCGCGCACUCAACCAGAAGAUUUCACUGUAGUUCCUAAUUGGAUUCCUUUUCCUUCGAAGGUCGCAUAUCAGCUCCACGAGGCAAAGCGAGCUUAUCCUGUCGCGGUAAACUAUUCAGGUGUCUCCGAUGUGUUUCGUUUAGGAUCAGUCAUUGCAGGUUGUGAUGUAAUAGCUGUGCGGAGCUGCAAUGAAUUAGAGGCGGACUUUUUGAGGCUUCUUGGAGAGCUUCACCGCAAGCCUGCGCUUCCAAUAGGUUUACUAGCACCUGCAGAUUUUGAUGCCAGAUGUAACGAAGAUGAAACGUGGCUCACAAUCAGAGAGUGGCUAUACAAGCAAAACAAAGGUUCUGUGGUUUACAUAGCAUUUGGAAGCGAGGUGGAACUGAGUCAACCUGAAAUAAACGAGUUGGCACUCGGAUUAGAGUUAUCAGGGUUGCCAUUCUUUUGGGUUCUAAGGAAACGGGAUAACUCGGUUGAGUUACCCGAUGGAUUCAAAGAACGAGUCGAGGGACGUGGCAUGGUGUGGACGAGUUGGGUACCUCAACUCAGAAUCUUGGGUCAUGAAUCAGUAGGAGGAUUUGUGACNGUUAUAGUUCAGUUAUAGAGGCACUUUACUAUGGACUUGCUUUGAUUAUGUUGCCAAUCACUAUAGUAGACCAAGGGCUAAUUGCAAGAGUUUUUGGAGAGAAGAAGGUGGGUGUAGAGGUGACAAGAGAUGAGGAAGAUGGGUCUUUUGCCAGGGAAUCGGUGGCUGAGUCGCUGAGGAUGGUGAUGGUUGAAAAGGAAGGAAAAGUAUACAGAGACAAUGCAAGGGAGAUGAGCAAGUUAUUUGCAGAUAAAGAUCUUCAUGAUCGAUAUAUAGAUCAUUUUGU
rnacentral:misc_RNA from 1 species